rnacentral:misc_RNA from 1 species
UCUCCGUUGGUGAACCAGCGGAGGGAUCAUUACAGAGUUUUCACAACUCCCAACCCUUGCGAACCGUACCCAUUCUGUUCUCGUUGCUUCUGGCGGGGGGGACGGGGGGGCCCGAAACGGCCCCCCCGCCCCGCCCGCCGGGGGCGGCGGCCCCUACGUACCUUUAUAUCUCAACCACCUGAAACCGUCUGAGAAAACAAAACAAAUAAUCAAAACUUUCAACAACGGAUCCCUUGGCUCUCGCAUCGAUGAAGAAAGCACCAGCUCUGAAUAGCACAC